rnacentral:tRNA from 1 species
GAUGGAAUAGUUUAAUUUAAAAUACUGUUUUUGUAAAACAGCGAUGGUUUAUGUUUCUUCUAUCA